AGUUCUCUUGUUUCCAUUUCCAUUUUUGCCGUCUCUCUCUCUCUCUCUCUCUCUCUCUUUAAACCCUCGUUCUUCUUCUUCAAAAUCGAAGACCAAGAUAUGGAAAUCUCGGUGACGUACAAGAAGAAAUGUUGAUCUACGCGAGGAGGGCUAUGUUUUGAUCCGAAGAAAGUACCACUUUGUGUAACUUCGGGAAUCCUAGCAAAAUUCUUCUCUUGAGGUUCCAAGGGGACGAACAAGCUUUGAUGGACUUGGUGGUGGAACUAAUCUAUUUAUUAUUGGAAGACAUAUCUCUAAUCAUUUAUAGAACUGUAAGUCAAUGGUACUGGGUUAAGAAAAUUAUUCUUGUCAGGAGCAAGGGAAGAAUUUAGUUGGCAUUCUUCUGCUAUUCAAUGGUUCUUCAUCAUCGAUUGUGGAAGAGAAACCCAUCAGGGAAACAAUUUUCCAUCAGAGAUGUCUUCUAAAUGCGUUGUCUUACCACAAAAUAUCAGAGUGAAAGCGGCAUUUGCUUAAUACAAAGUUCCAUUCUUCUUGACAAAUCUGAGUAAAGUUGGUC